rnacentral:tRNA from 1 species
GGGGCUGUGCCUGAAAUAAAGGGUCAAUCUGAUAAAAUGAACAAUGAGGGUUAAAGUCCCUCCAGCCCCU